rnacentral:lncRNA from 1 species
CUUGCAUGACAUGGAACAGACUGCCCAUCUGCCUUGAGUUGUAAUCUGGCCCGUUAGAUGAGAGAGAAAUAAAUUUCUCUUUAUUUUUGAUCCACUGUGUUUUGGGGUGUUGGUUGCUCUAACUACCACACAAAACCAAUCAGAAAUUCUCUCUCUUAAUCUCUCUCUGGAUUUUGAAUCUUAAGCAGACUGAAACUGAGACAGGAAAAGCAGCUGGAGCUGACCAAUUCCAGUAGUAGCACAAUGACAGGAGAGUCUAGGAAUUCCUAUAGCUGGGACCACCCACUCUAGGGCUGUUUUUUAGCUCCUAUCUAUUCUUGAACCUAUUUUACAAAUGUGCCAUUAAUUCUGUGACUUGUCUGUUAUCUUUCCAACAAAUUUCUCUAUUUGCUUAAUUUUGCCAGAGUUAAUUUUAUGUGCAGAGUUUAUUUAUGUUACUUGUUACUUGCAUCCAUACUUUUCUGUAUUUUAGAAUACUUUCUUAGAAUAGAUUUGAUAUCAUUGGGAUUACUGAGUAAAAUUUCUUGAUGGUUUUUGUGGCCUUUGAUAUAAAUGUCUUUCUAUGUGAUUCCAGAGGCCAAACAAAACAGAAAAAUUCUUCUUCCUGCUCCUUCAGUAAUGGGAACAUUCCCAUCCCUGCAGGAAAUGGCGAAAGUACUUGCUUUCUUUACAAGCACACAGAGAACUAAAUGUUUCACUUGGUGCACCAGCAUAAGAGAGGCGGGGAUCAAAGCUACUCUUGCAUCUAAAACGUUGCUGCCUCAAGCCCUUUCUCCCUAGCACUCAUCAGUGGCUCAGCGGGGCUGGAGGGAAUCCCAUCUGACAG